rnacentral:rRNA from 1 species
UACGUAGGGUGCGCGCGUUAAUCGGAAUUACUGGGCGUAAAGCGUGCGCAGGCGGUUUUUUAAGCCAGAUUUGAAAUCCCCGGGCUUAACCUGGGAACUUCAUUUGGAACUGGAAGACUAGAGUACGGCAGAGGGGGGUAGAAUUCCACGUGUAGCAGUGAAAGGCGGAGAUAUGUGGAGGAAUACCGAUGGCGAAGGCAGCCCCCUGGGUCGAUACUGACGCUCAUGCACGAAAGCGUGGGGAGCAAACAGG